CGCGCCCCGGCCUGGGAUUUCCCCUUUGACACUGGCUAUCUGCCUUUUCUAGAUUCUGCGGUAAGACUGAAAAAUAAACAUCACUUAAAGGAAAGAAAGAAAGACCUCGGCGAGGCCGUCGCUGCCGUCCCUGUCUGCGUGCUCUCCACCCGCCAAGUGCACGCGGGUUCUCCACGCAUCCGCGUCCUGCGCGGCAGCCCUUUCCCGCCCUUAGCGCCUCUCUGGCUGAAGUUUCCAGAACCUGGAUUCUGUUGGCCAAUUCACGUUCCAGGAAGCGCCCGCGCGCGUGCGCAGCGAGCGACCCUGAGCUUUUGGGCGGGCGUCUUCUAUUUCACUGGGCACGACUGAGGAAAGAAGCGUCGGGCCCCUGCGGGCUGAGCCUCGGCGGACUGUUCCAGCUCUGCUCGCAUUCCCGCAGCGGCGCUACUUCCUCUAGCCGAAAAGCUCAGUUACCGCUGCGGAUCGGACGAGAGCUGCCGUUAAGGCAGAGAGGGCCAAGGAGCGAAGAGCCAGCUGCUCCGCAGGAGGCAGCUUCGGACACACACCCCUCGCGCUGAGAUGGAGCUUCAAUCCCCAUCCUUUGAGCUUGGGCUGCACUUACCCACGUGGAAAGUGGGAAAAAGCAACUUGAUAGUGGAGAAACCUGGCAAGCAGUGCCUCAGUGAGAUGAUCAAGGUUAACAUCAUCAAUGGUAAGUCAUAUUGAUAGCACGUACCCUUGAUAUGAUGUGAUGAGAAUGACACUUCACCUCUGUGGUCUUCCUCUCAAAAACCCAUUAACUCUAGUCUAAUUAUGAGAAAAACAUCAGAAAAACUCAAAUUGAUGGUCAUUCUACAAAACGCCUGACCAGCACUCCUCAAAACUGUCCAGAUCAUCAAAAACAAGGUCUGAGAAUCUGUCGCAGACCAAAGGAGGCUAAGGAGAUGUGACUACUAGAUGUAAUGUAGCAUCUUGGAUGGGGUCCUGGAACAGAAGAAGAGGUAAAAACUAGGAAAUCCAAAUAAAAUGUGGAGUUUGCUGAAUAGCAAC
rnacentral:lncRNA from 1 species